UUUUUUUUUUCGUCAUCAUCAUCAGAAAUUCUUGAGCAGCUUUCUGACCUGUUCCAAGGUCACAAAGAGCACAAUCGUAAACGGCCCUUGCCUUGAAAUCGUUGGUAUAAAUCCCUUGUACAGCGCCAUCGGCCCCUCUGCCUUCACCGUCUUCACUGCGCAAUCCAACGCCCCUGCAUACGGUGCCGCCUCCCCUGCCUCCACCUUCAUGUUCAUC
rnacentral:misc_RNA from 1 species